AGGGAGGAUAAAAGUUCAUUUUGACUCUUGUUUUCACCAGAUCAAGUUGCCCAUCAAAUUCAAGAACCCCCACCACAAUCCAUGAAGAAGACUUAGGUUAUGACAUAGAAAAAGGGCAGAACGAUGAUUUGAAGAGCGUAAUUUUCAGGCUCAAGACUCCCCAAGAGGUGCACCACCAAUAUUUUACAGAAAUGGAUUGGGGAAGGCAAUGAAAUCAC
rnacentral:lncRNA from 1 species